GGACAAUGGGUGUCACGGCAGCCAGCGACCGUUUGUCAUUCACAGCUGCCUGAAAGGAGGACCGCAGUAUUCCCACGCAGGAAGCUUGGACCAAAAGCAGGAAUGCUUAAGGGCGCAUAUGACUUGCCAUGGUAAAAAACAGGAUGCCAACCCAGGCCUGAUGACAUCCACCUCACUAAAAGCUAAGGACUAGGACUUUCUGCUUUAAACAAGGACCCACAUGUGGGUGUUUUCUGUGGGAGAGGGAGAGAGGACAUUCGAAGGGCAGAAGUCUGACCUUUGCAAGCACACGUGAACCACACCAAUGAGAAAUGAAUGGACGAGCCAGAUGCCAAUUUAUAAAUUUCCUACUGCACACCUUGAAUGUGAAAGGUACUCCCAGAGUAAUUUCUCUCGUGUUCUGGUUACCUUUUAUUGUCAGGGCGCCUGGGGACGGCCUUAGGUGUCUUAGGACAUUUGACGAGUUCCACUUUGAUGGGAGAUGUUUAAUCUGGGCCUCCACAUGGAGAUUUCUCUCCACCUUGUUAGUGUCUAGAAGACUUCCACCUCCAAUAGCAGGAUUAUGAUCUUUUGAAAA
rnacentral:lncRNA from 1 species